rnacentral:rRNA from 1 species
UAGGGAAUCUUCCACAAUGGGCGAAAGCCUGAUGGAGCAACGCCGCGUGUGUGAUGAAGGGCUUCGGCUCGUAAAACACUGUUGUAAGAGAAGAAUGACAUUGAGAGUAACUGUUCAAUGUGUGACGGUAUCUUACCAGAAAGGAACGGCUAAAUACGUGCCAA